AGUGAACGCUGGCGGUAGGCCUAACACAUGCAAGUCGAACGGCAGCACAGGAGAGCUUGCUCUCUGGGUGGCGAGUGGCGGACGGGUGAGGAAUACAUCGGAAUCUACUCUGUCGUGGGGGAUAACGUAGGGAAACUUACGCUAAUACCGCAUACUACCUACGGGUGAAAGCAGGGGACCUUCGGGCCUUGCGCGAUUGAAUGAGCCGAUGUCGGAUUAGCUAGUGGGCGGGGUAAAGGCCCACCAAGGCGACGAUCCGUAGCCGGUCUGAGAGGAUGAUCAGCCACACUGGAACUGAGACACGGUCCAGACUCCGACGGGAGGCAGCAGUGGGGAAUAUUGGACAAUGGGCGCAAGCCUGAUCCAGCCAUACCGCGUGGGUGAAGAAGGCCUUCGGGUUGUAAAGCCCUUUUGUUGGGAAAGAAAUCCAGCUGGCUAAUACCCGGUUGGGAUGACGGUACCCAAAGAAUAAGCACCGGCUAACUUCGUGCCAGCCGCCGCCGUAA
rnacentral:rRNA from 1 species